rnacentral:rRNA from 1 species
CCUACGGGUGGCAGCAGUGGGGAAUAUUGGGCAAUGGGCGCAAGCCUGACCCAGCAACGCCGCGUGAAGGAAGAAGGCUUUCGGGUUGUAAACUUCUUUUCUCAGGGACGAAGCAAGUGACGGUACCUGAAGAAUAAGCCACGGCUAACUACGUGCCAGCAGCCGCGGUAAUACGUAGGUGGCAAGCGUUAUCCGGAUUUACUGGGUGUAAAGGGCGUGUAGGCGGGAAAGCAAGUCAGAUGUGAAAACCAUGGGCUCAACCUGUGGACUGCAUUUGAAACUGUUUUUCUUGAGUACUGGAGAGGCAGACGGAAUUCCUAGUGUAGCGGUGAAAUGCGUAGAUAUUAGGAGGAACACCAGUGGCGAAGGCGGUCUGCUGGACAGUAACUGACGCUGAGGCGCGAAAGCGUGGGGAGCAAACAGGAUUAGAUACCCGUGUAGUC